UGCUGGGGAAUUGGUACCGAUUCCGUCGAAUCCGAACCGGGGAACAUACCGGUCAUGGUGUGACCGCAGAAGAACCGAUCGCAACAACUCCCGCUGUAUCGGCAAUCUGGGCCAUCAGACCGGGUCCGAUUCCGCGUGACACAGCAGGGCUAAGAACCUUUUUCUGAGGAAAACAAGAAAUUGGGAUUUACAUUUCGGACAAAAGCAAAGAAGAAGUUUAUUGGGCGGAUUUGGGAAGAGAAAAAAGGAUAGCCGGAAGUGCCAAUUUGGUGUGUUUACUGUUGAAAAUCAACGUGAAAAUAAUGAAUAUGAAAAAAACGAGUUAACAAAACGAAA